AAGAAAUUCCUCAACAUAGGAAUUUGCAUUGGAGUGUUUCUAUAAGUUUUAUUUCAUGUUUGGUGAGUUUUUGUACCCCGGUACCAGCAGGGGCUCACAGCUCUCACCAGGAAGACCACAGCAAUGAAGCAAUGCGGUGAGCCCUGUUUGGCUUUAAAUUUUACAGGCCGGUAAAUGUCAGUCUCAUGAAUUAACAAAAUGAGAACAACGUCUUUGUUGAUCCGCGGUUUAUUUUCAAGUUUGUCUGCAGAAAAUGACCUUCCAGAAUGCCUUGUGGGAAUGAGCCAAAGAGGGAGAUUUACAAUCUCAUCAGUGCAGCUUUAUCUAUGACGUGAGCAGCAGUCUCAGCAGAAACUCCCAGACUUCCCUCUCUUCAGAUACCUCUUCCAGCUCUUCUGGAGGAAGCCUGAGGUGCUACCAGGCCAGCAGAGCGACAUUGUGCCUCCAGCGUGUCCUUGGUCGUCCCCUGGGCCUCGUCAUGAUGGGAUGUGCCUAGGACAUCUCUAGACAAAGGCAUCCAGGGCGCAUCGAAAAAACACAGGUUGGAGCCACUUCAGCUGACUCGUCUCGAUGUGAAGGAGAAGCGGCUCUACUCUGAGCCUGUCCCAGAUGACUGAGCUACAUUCUCCGAUGUAGUGUGGAGCCACGUAUGGUGUCACCUGGCCUGGGCAACAUUCCUGGCUCUAGCCCCGAAUUAUAGCCUUAAAUCCUUUUUACCCCCAAGAAAGAAGAAAUGUCAAAUAAAUGGCCUGCUUUAUAACAUUAAAAAGACAUUACAUAAUUUUCUUAUGAUACUGUAACCAGUGGUCAAAACACAGCAACUGCAGCACUCUUCUGCUCGUUCUCAUAGCUCUCGCUCAUACAAGCAUUCACCUUACCUGGAGUUGUUAUUAGUGUCUGAGUUGGGCUGGACACUGGUUGCUUCUGAUUAUCCACAAAAUCCAUCUUGAAUACAUCGCUUUGAUUGGUUGUAAGGUUGGACCUGUUUGAGGUGUCAGUCUGCUCAUCAAAUUAUGUUUUAGUUUUAGUUGUAUAGUGUGAAAUUAAAAAGGCUAUUUUAAAGACAUUUAGAUACACAAACAACCCAAGGCUUCAAUAACUGAAGAGCAUUAGACUUUUUAAGAUGGCAUAAUGAAAGCCUUAAUUUAAUACUUUUUUUAGAGAUCUUUUUUUAUAUUGUCAAGAUUAUUUUUCAUAGAUACAUUGUGGAGUACAUGGUGCAGUAGAUGGCCUAAAACAAGGUGCCUAUGAGGAUUUGCUCAGCCCCCAGUGUUUCCAGGCCCCCAAAAAACGCACCUGCAUUGUCCUGUUUUCCUAUACAUAAAAUCUGGAACUCACACUAACCACACUAACCAUUUGGCCUAUUCUCUAAAAAACCCCUUGGGACAUGUCUUACCAUGAGUACCCUUCUCAGUCACUGGGGUGACUGAGAGGGGUACUUUUGGGCAUGACAUUUUGGCAAGACUGUCCAGAAGUUGAACACAUUUAUUUAUAUAAAGGGUUGUUUUACAUUAGUAUAAAUUGGCCCCAGAUAGAUGGUUGAUAAGGAGUAAUUCUUCAAUAAAUUCUAUCCAUAAAGAAAUUGUUAUAAUGUAGAUAUUGCACAUGAAUGUAUGUGGCAUGUUGUUUUCCUGUGGCUCACCUCUGUGUUUAGGUGAAUUGAGUUGGACUGAGAUAAAUGUAGUUUUGUAUGGACUAUGGUUAUAUAUAUACUUAAAACAGUUGCUUUUUUGUGUUUUUUUUCUUUGCUUAAAGGAAGACAACAUGUAUUUAGUUGUGUAUAAUUGCUCUAAGUAAGUGGGAAAAACAGCUGCUAUAGAUAAGUCAUAUAGGUCUAUCAAGUAACCCAAGACCACGCUGCUGUAUAGAAAACAUUUCCUGUAGAAUGCUCUUUUUAUGCCAAUAACGUUGUAAACUAUCAGUACCAUCCACUUUGAUUAUUUCUUCUAGCAGUGAAUAAACUUUCCUUUACCAUUCUGUGUCCAAUAUCUUGUGUUUACCUGCCAAGUCCAAAAGGACUUGUUUAUGAUGUGUUAACUAGUGUGAACUUUGAAUAAAUUUAUCUUUUCAUCUAAGCUCAGAUAUCCUUUUAUAGUAACUGGGAAUAAUAGAUCGUUUUGAUAAGUACCUUAUUUGGGUUUAGGUUCCCCAGGGUGUUUUCAUAAACACCUGUUGGGGGGGGGCGGUAUUAUUGGUGUGCAGGAUGUCCAACCAACGUUCAUUGUGUUUUCGAAUGCUGUAUAAAUUUACAUAAUAAAUACAUUGAAACAA